rnacentral:rRNA from 1 species
UGGGGAAUAUUGCACAAUGGGCGCAAGCCUGAUGCAGCCAUGCCGCGUGUGUGAAGAAGGCCUUCGGGUUGUAAAGCACUUUCAGCGAGGAGGAAGGUGGUGAGCUUAAUACGCUCAUCAAUUGACGUUACUCGCAGAAGAAGCACCGGCUAACUCCGUGCCAGCAGCCGCGGUAAUACGGAGGGUGCAAGCGUUAAUCGGAAUUACUGGGCGUAAAGCGCACGCAGGCGGUUUGUUAAGUCAGAUGUGAAAUCCCCGGGCUCAACCUGGGAACUGCAUUUGAAACUGGCAAGCUAGAGUCUCGUAGAGGGGGGUAGAAUUCCAGGUGUAGCGGUGAAAUGCGUAGAGAUCUGGAGGAAUACCGGUGGCGAAGGCGGCCCCCUGGACGAAGACUGACGCUCAGGUGCGAAAGCGUGGGGCAGCAAACAGGAUUAGAUACCCUGGUAGUCCACGCUGUAAAACGAUGUCGAUUUUGGAGGUUGUGCCCUUGAGGCGUGGCUUCCGGAGCUAACGCGUUAAAUCGACCGCCUGGGGAGUACGGCCGCAAGGUUAAAACUUAAAUGAAUUGACGGGGUCU